CCUACGGGUGGCAGCAGUGGGGAAUAUUGGGCAAUGGGGGAAACCCUGACCCAGCAACGCCGCGUGAAGGAAGAAGGCUUCCGGAUUGUAAACUUUUGUUCUUGGUGAAGAAGAAUGACGGUAGCCAAGGAGGAAGCCACGGCUAACUACGUGCCAGCAGCCGCGGUAAUACGUAGGUGGCAAGCGUUGUCCGGAAUUACUGGGUGUAAAGGGAGCGCAGGCGGGAAAUCAAGUUGGAUGUGAAAUGUCGGGGCUUAACUCCGGAACUGCAUCCAAAACUGAUAUUCUUGAGUGAAGUAGAGGUAGGCGGAAUUCCGAGUGUAGCGGUGAAAUGCGUAGAUAUUCGGAGGAACACCAGUGGCGAAGGCGGCCUACUGGGCUUUAACUGACGCUGAGGCUCGAAAGUGUGGGGAGCAAACAGGAUUAGAUACCCGUGUAGUC
rnacentral:rRNA from 1 species